GUGCUAUCACUUUGGCAGCACAUAUACUAAAAUUGGAAUGAUACAGAGAAGAUUAGCAUGACCCCUGUACAAGGCCACUCUAGGAAAAUAAAAUUCAU
ensembl:snRNA U6 U6 spliceosomal RNA